rnacentral:tRNA from 2 species
GCGGUCGUGGCCGAGUGGUUAAGGCGGUGGAUUAGAAAUCUAUUGGGGUCUCCCCGCACAGGUUCGAAUCCUGUCAACUGCG